rnacentral:rRNA from 1 species
GAAUAACACACCGAAAGGUGUACUAAUACCGCAUAAGACCACGGGAUCACAUGGUUCUGGGGUAAAAGAUUUAUCGGUUUGGGGUGGGCUCGCGUCCGAUUAGGUAGUUGGUGAGGUAACGGCCCACCAAGCCGACGAUCGGUAGCCCGACCUGAGAGGGUGAUCGGCCCACAUUGGGGACUGAGACACGGGCCCCAAACUCCUACGGGAGGGCAGCAGUGGGGGAAAUAUUGGGGCAAAUGGGAGGGAAACUCUGACCCCAGCAAACGCCCGCGUGGGAGGGAAGAAAGGUUUUCGGGAUCGUAAAACUCCCUGUCCCUUGGAGACGAGUAGAAGACGGUAUCCAAAGGAGGGAAGCCCCCGGCUAACUACGUGCCCAGCAGCCGCGGUAAUACGUAGGGGGGCAAAGCGUUGUUCCGGAAUAAUUGGGCGUAAAGGGCGCGUAGGCGGCUCGGUAAGUCUGGAGUGAAAGUCCUGCUUUUAAGGUGGGAAUUGCUUUGGAUACUGUCGGGCUUGAGUGCAGGAGAGGUUAGUGGAAUUCCCCAGUGUAGCGGUGAAAUGCGUAGAGAUUGGGAGGAACACCAGUGGCGAAGGCGACUAACUGGACUGUAACUGACGCUGAGGCGCGAAAGUGUGGG